CUCGGAGUUUGAUCCUGGCUCAGAUUGAACGCUGGCGGCAUGCUUUACACAUGCAAGUCGAACGGUAACAGGUUAAGCUGACGAGUGGCGAACGGGUGAGUAAUGCAUCGGAACGUGCCCGAUCGUGGGGGAUAACGCAGCGAAAGCUGCGCUAAUACCGCAUACGAUCUGAGGAUGAAAGCGGGGGACCGUAAGGCCUCGCGCGAUCGGAGCGGCCGAUGUCAGAUUAGGUAGUUGGUGGGGUAAAGGCUCACCAAGCCGACGAUCUGUAGCUGGUCUGAGAGGACGACCAGCCACACUGGGGACUGAGACACGGCCCAGACUCCUACGGGAGCAGCAGUGGGGAAUUUUGGACAAUGGGGCGAAAGCCUGAUCCCAGCAAUGCCGCGUGCAGG
rnacentral:rRNA from 1 species